rfam:Acyrthosiphon pisum strain LSR1 Contig33006, whole genome shotgun sequence.
AAGAUCAUACUUCACAGGAUCAUUUCUGUAGUAUGCAUCGUCCCCUCCAGGUGCAAAUCUGGAGUCGUCAUCGGCCACGAUGAUGAGACUAGUCCAUCUACUUGAGCGUGAGAUCGCUGGUCAUCUGUCGCUCAGCGAUGAAGAUGAUUCAGCAACGAUGAUCGCUACGGUUCGCCGGAUGGUAGGUGGACAGCCUGAGUGGU